UAGCGAGGGCCAAGCUCGACGCUCCAAACUCCGUGUAAUUCUGAGGGGGAACCCCCUGAACCUGUGGUUUUCCACAGUACCAGAACAAUUGAGCCGUUUGUCGUGAAGCCGGUCUUUUUGAAAAAUGGAAUCGCAGAAGAUAAUAGAUCUGUAUAUAUAUAUUUCUCUUUCGGGUAUACAAAUUUCCAUGUAAAACAUUAAUACUUUUGUCAGAAUUAAGAAGACUGAGAGAUCUAGGAGGCUGACUACGAAGAGGACAGGGCGUUACGAGCGCGUCGCGGGACGAUUUGCAAAUCUUUGGCGUAUGCGGUGACGGUGGCGGCUGGCUGGCACGCGCCGUAUGUAAUUCAAUCGGGUAUUUCGUCGAGGACAAGGGAAGGCCCGGGGGUGAUAAGUGGACAAGCCGGCUAUCCGGACAGAUGCAGCUUGGUCGGCCCGCUCCUUCAACCCUUUCUCAAAAUAACGAAACUCGAUACGUUCCGAAGACGUUUGGUUAAAUUGCCAUCCGCAAUGACGGAUGUACGAGUAAUAAGAGGACGUGAACCAUGGGGACAUCGAGGAGAGGGAAGACACGUCUAAUUGCGCCAGUAUUCUGGAAUUGCUUUAAAGCAUUAACUCGAACGUUGCAGAGAGGUAUACAACCCCCCAAGAUGGCUGCUCCCGGGCGUAUCGACGUUUGGCGUUUGGAGGGUU